UACGUAGGGGGCAAGCGUUGUCCGGAUUUAUUGGGCGUAAAGAGCGUGUAGGCGGCCUGAAAGGUCAGCUGUGAAAACUCGAGGCUCAACCUCGAGACGUCGGUUGAAACCAUCUGGCUAGAGUCCGGAAGAGGAGAGUGGAAUUCCCGGUGUAGCGGUGAAAUGCGCAGAUAUCGGGAAGAACACCCGUGGCGAAGGCGGCUCUCUGGGACGGUACUGACGCUGAGGCACGAAAGCGUGGGGAGCAAACAGG
rnacentral:rRNA from 1 species